rnacentral:antisense_RNA from 2 species
CUUCACCGACCCCAACCACAACGGGCGGCCUUCCGGGCGCCCUUGGCCAUAGGUGUCGAGGAGCGCCUGUGCCUC